rnacentral:rRNA from 1 species
UACGUAGGGUGCGAGCGUUGUCCGGAAUUAUUGGGCGUAAAGAGCUCGUAGGCGGCUUGUUGCGUCGACCGUGAAAACCCGUGGCUCAACUGCGGGCUUGCGGUCGAUACGGGCGGGCUAGAGUUCGGUAGGGGGAGACUGGAAUUCCUGGUGUAGCGGUGAAAUGCGCAGAUAUCAGGAGGAACACCGAUGGCGAAGGCAGGUCUCUGGGCAUUAACUGACGCUGAGGAGCGAAAGCAUGGGGGAGCGAACAGG